rnacentral:rRNA from 1 species
UUCCGGUUGAUCCUGCCGGACCCGACUGCUAUCAGAGUGGGACUAAGCCAUGCGAGUCGACGUAGCAAUGCGUGGCGAACGGCUCAGUAACACGUAGUCAACAUGCCCAGGGGACGUGGAUAACCUCGGGAAACUGAGAAUAAACCACGAUAGGUCACGAUUUCUGGAAUGGAUCAUGGCCUAAAUCUACAUGGCCCCUGGAUUGGACUGCGGCCGAUCAGGCUGUUGGUGAGGUAAUGGCCCACCAAACCUAUAACCGGUACGGGCUCUGAGAGGAGAAGCCCGGGGAUGGGCACUGAGACAAGGGCCCAGGCCCUAUGGGGCGCAGCAGGCGCGAAACCUCUGCAAUAGGCGAAAGCCUGACAGGGUUACUCUGAGUGAUUUCCGCUAAGGGGAUCUUUUGGCACCUCUAAAAAUGGUGCAGAAUAAGGGGUGGGCAAGUCUGGUGUCAGCCGCCGCGGUAAUACCAGCACCCCGAGUGGUCGGGACGAUUAUUGGGCCUAAAGCAUCCGUAGCCGGUUCUGCAAGUCUUCCGUUAAAUCCAGCCGCUCAACGGAUGGGCCGCGGAGGAUACUACAGGACUAGGAGGCGGGAGAGGCAAGCGGUACUCAGUGGGUAGGGGUAAAAUCCUUUGAUCCAUUGAAGACCACCAGUGGCGAAGGCGGCUUGCCAGAACGCGCUCGACGGUGAGGGAUGAAAGCUGGGGGAGCAAACCGGAUUAGAUACCCGGGUAGUCCCAG